GACGAACGCUGGCGGCGUGGCUUAACACAUGCAAGUCGAGCGGUAAGGCCCUUUCGGGGGUACACGAGCGGCGAACGGGUGAGUAACACGUGGGUGACCUGCCCUUAGCUCUGGGAUAAGCCUGGGAAACUGGGUCUAAUACCGGAUAUGACUCCAUGACGCAUGUUGUGGGGUGGAAAGCCUUGUGCGGCUAGGGGAUGGGCCCGNGGCCUAUCAGCUUGUUGGUGGGGUGAUGGCCUACC
rnacentral:rRNA from 1 species